rnacentral:lncRNA from 1 species
UUAAGAAGCAGGAAUACAACGUUCUUUGCUUUUAGCUUUACACUUUUCCAUCACUGUGAUCUUCCCCAGAGAAGUGUCUCGUAGAGACUUUGACCAUCACCAUGAUCAGCAACAGCAGCAUUUACAGAGUACCUAAAGUGGGAAUAGAAUGGACUAGAAUAUUUUCGAUCUCAGAAUGCAAGUGAAUUCAAAGCACUGUGCCAGGCUCUGCAGAAUAAAACAACGAAACAGAAACAAACUCCAUCCUCAAGAAGCUAACGUCUAAUUCAGGAAAUAGAGUUUUAUCUUUACAACAAUCCUGUGACACGAAGAAUUGGUGGGAGGUAAUGUCAGCAAGAUGGUGGAAUAGAAGUUUACUAUUGUUAUCCCCCUACGGAGCAUUGAUUUUGACAAACACUCAUAGUGCAACCAUUCAGCUCAGACUAUGCCCUGAAGCACAGACUUAACGUCCCCUACCAAGAAUCACUUAUCAUGCCUUAUCUGGUAGAAGUAUAAUUUCCACGUCAAAGGAGAAGUUGAUAAUUCAACUAAUUUCAUCUGCUUUUAGUAAAAAUCAUCUGAUAUUUAAUAAAACGAACAAUUAAAAAUAAAAGGGACACAAAGAAGCUUU